rnacentral:rRNA from 1 species
AACCGGAGGAAGGUGGGGAUGACGUCAAGUCCUCAUGGCCCUUAUGGGUAGGGCUUCACACGUCAUACAAUGGUCGGGACAGAGGGUCGCCAACCCGCGAGGGGGAGCCAAUCUCAGAAACCCGAUCGUAGUCCGGAUCGCAGUCUGCAACUCGACUGCGUGAAGUCGGAAUCGCUAGUAAUCGCGGAUCAGAAUGUCGCGGUGAAUACGUUCCCGGGUCUUGUACACACCGCCCGUCACACCAUGGGAGUGGGUUUCACCAGAAGUAGGUAGCCUAACCGCAAGGAGGGCGCUUACCACGGUGGGAUUCAUGACUGGGGUGAAGUCGUAACAAGG